AUCUAAUCAAGUUAUAAUGAACUUUUAUUAUAGUUCUUAAAUCUUUUAUCACAAGUUUUGACUUGGUUUCAAGGUGGUGGAAAAUUUUAAAUAUUAAUGAUAGCGAACAUGUGGUAUUUGUAAGUCCCCGUUUGAAGUUAGGGGCAGCCUAAAACCCUUGUUAAAACUGCUAUCAAUUAAUGUUUAAGAUGAUCUCCCAUGCUUGAGUAAAAGGUUACCAUACAGCCGAAACUUAGGAUAAAACUUUAAAAAUAACUAUAAUACGUUGCAUAUUAUAGCCUGGUGUACAAAGCUAGAUCUGGAUGGCCGUG
rnacentral:misc_RNA from 1 species